UCCAUGGUAACAGUUCCACUGGCGGAGAGCUUUUCCAUCUCCAUGACAACUGCAUCCAGAGCAAGCACCAUGACACCGCAGGAUGAGCAGGGAGGACGCCUUGGGGGCGUGGCCUCUUGGGUGGCGUGUUCCUCCAUUGGAGCGCGGGUUAUGUGGCUAUUUGAUGUCACAGCAUCACCAUUGGUGGAAAAGGAAGCGAGCGUUGGCGUUGAUUGUAUUUCCUGCACGAUGCUGUUACUGAAGAUGAGGAGGACAGCGAGGUUGAACACGUCUUGCAGACCAGACGCCUAUAAAAUGGCCAAAGGUCGCUGCUCCAGUGUGUGAACGGGUUCAUUAAACUACAGCGAGGGCUCACAGCGAACGACAUCCUGCAGACGUGAUCCUCCGGGGUCAUCGGCAGUAAUCGAUGCCACUUACAGCACAUGCCAUCUUCUUCUUAUUCCUUUUACUGAACCCCGGAUGAAAGGGGGCUGCAAAUAAGACGCUCGUGGCAGACAAAGCAGAAACAAGGCUCCGAGUGUGCGGAGAGCAAAGCUGAAAAAACACACUAUUUAAGGCUCAACACGACGUUUUCCAUGAGCUCAUUCUGCAAUAAGACAGGCAAGUCUAAAGUCUAUCCAUGUCUAAAAUGAUAUUGAUUAAUGAUAAAUUAAUGAUAUGGUUACAAUAUUUAAUGGAAAUGUUUGGUGAUGUUCUCCCCAGACUAAACUAAACUAGCUUUUCUAAGAUGUAUAAUAUCUAAAUAUACAACUGGAGAAAUAUCGUAUUAAUUAUAUGGUCAUUUGAACACAUUUUCCGACCUAAAAUCCGAUAGUUGGAUAAAUCCAGGGGUAAAAUGAUUCUUUUUGUUGUACAGUCAAAGGUUUUCACAGAGAAGAAUGUCUUUCUAUCACUACAUGAAUCAGAAAAUACUGUCAACAGCCUCAACGAAAUCUGAUUAUUUCAUGUUUUUGGUAAUAAAAUAUCUGUAGAAGCUCCAGAGAGCAAUGAAGCUGUAAAGUUAGGUGAUGUUAGAUGUUAGAUCUCCUGAAGGAGACUUCUGGGUUAGAAGUUUAGUCACGUGACCGACAUGUUACAUUACAGAACAUUACAUGUCAUUUAGAUGACGCUUUUAUCCAAAGCGUCUUACAAUAAGUGAAUUUCAACUAUGAGGACACGAACCCAGAAGAACAAGAAACAAGAAAGUGCAAUUUCAUUAAGUAUUUACAACGUGCUACAGAGAAGAGCCAUUAUGAGUGUUGCAGACACGUCAGGUGAAGAGAGUCAAAGAAUUAGCUUUAAUGUGGACUUAAGAAAGUGAGUCGACAUAACGUCCUCACGAGUGCUCCGUGGUAGACGUGUGGUCAUGUGAUCGACGCGUGGUCAUGUGAUCGAGCUCCUUAACAGCCGAUCGAUUCUCCGGGUUUGAAGCCUCCACUUCGACAUAAUGGAAACCAGAAGGCCGGUAAAGAGGUUAAGGGUUAAGCUCGCACGUGUAAACACAGACUACUCCCAGACAGGACAAGCGCUUCGGUAGAGACCUGUCAAUCAAUGUACAGCCCCGCCCUAAAGUACCGGUUCAUACCUCAUUGGACUGUCAAUCAGAUGUGAUUUAAAUAUGUUGAAACAUCUAUAAUUGAUAAAUCAUCAAUUCUGA